rnacentral:rRNA from 1 species
AUUGAACGCUGGCGGCAGGCCUAACACAUGCAAGUCGAACGGUAGCAGGAAGAAGCUUGCUUCUUUGCUGACGAGUGGCGGACGGGUGAGUAAUGUCUGGGAAACUGCCUGAUGGAGGGGGAUAACUACUGGAAACGGUAGCUAAUACCGCAUAACGUCGCAAGACCAAAGAGGGGGACCUUCGGGCCUCUUGCCAUCGGGUGUGCCCAGAUGGGAUUAGCUAGUAGGUGGGGUAACGGCUCACCUAGGCGACGAUCCCUAGCUGGUCUGAGAGGAUGACCAGCCACACUGGAACUGAGACACGGUCCAGACUCCUACGGGAGGCAGCAGUGGGGAAUAUUGCACAAUGGGCGCAAGCCUGAUGCAGCCAUGCCGCGUGUAUGAAGAAGGCCUUCGGGUUGUAAAGUACUUUCAGCGGGGAGGAAGGGAGUAAAGUUAAUACCUUUGCUCAUUGACGUUACCCGCAGAAGAAGCACCGGCUAACUCCGUG